rnacentral:rRNA from 1 species
UACAGAGGGGGCAAGCGUUGUUCGGAAUUACUGGGCGUAAAGGGCGCGUAGGCGGCCUGUUAAGUCGAACGUGAAAUCCCCGGGCUCAACCCGGGAACUGCGUCCGAUACUGGCAGGCUUGAAUCCGGGAGAGGGAUGCGGAAUUCCAGGUGUAGCGGUGAAAUGCGUAGAUAUCCGGAAGAACACCGGUGGCGAAGGCGGCCUGCUGGGCAGUUGCUGACACUGAGGCGCGACAGCGUGGGGAGCAAACAGG